rnacentral:tRNA from 1 species
UCCUGGUGGCUCAGAUGGUAAAGAGUCUGCCUGCAAUGCAGGAGACCCAGGUUUGAUCCCUGGGUCAGGAA